AGCGGAGGAAAAGAAACCAACAGGGAUUACCUCAGUAACGGCGAGUGAAGCGGUAACAGCUCAAAUUUGAAAUCUGGCCCUUUUAGGGUCCGAGUUGUAAUUUGUAGAAGAUGCUUUGGGCGUGGCUCCGGUCUAAGUUCCUUGGAACAGGACGUCAUAGAGGGUGAGAAUCCCGUAUGUGACUGGUAGCUUUCGCCCGUGUAAAGCUCUUUCGACGAGUCGAGUUGUUUGGGAAUGCAGCUCAAAAUGGGUGGUAAAUUUCAUCUAAAGCUAAAUAUUGGCCAGAGACCGAUAGCGCACAAGUAGAGUGAUCGAAAGAUGAAAAGCACUUUGGAAAGAGAGUUAAACAGUACGUGAAAUUGUUGAAAGGGAAGCGCUUGCAACCAGACUCGCAGGCCGUCGAUCAUCUCAGGUUCUCCUGGGUGCACUCGGCGGUCUUCGGGCCAGCAUCGGUUUGGGUGGUGGGAUAAAGGCCUUGGGAAUGUAGCUUCUUUCGGGGAGUGUUAUAGCCCUCGGUGCAAUGCCGCCUACCCGGACCGAGGACCGCGCUUCGGCUAGGAUGCUGGCGUAAUGGUUGUAAGCGACCCGUCUUGAAACACGGACCAAGGAGUCUAACAUCUAUGCGAGUAUUUGGGUGUUAAACCCAUAUGCGUAAUGAAAGUGAACGGAGGUGAGAACCCUUAAGGGUGCAUCAUCGACCGAUCCUGAUGUCUUCGGAUGGAUUUGAGUAAGAGCAUAGCUGUUGGGACCCGAAAGAUGGUGAACUAUGCCUAAAUAGGGUGAAGCCAGAGGAAACUCUGGUGGAGGCUCGCAGCGGUUCUGACGUGCAAAUCGAUCGUCAAAUUUGGGUAUAGGGGCGAAAGACUAAUCGAACCAUCUAGUAGCUGGUUCCUGCC
rnacentral:rRNA from 1 species